GCCUUCUUAGCUCAGUGGUAGUAGCGCAUGCCUAGUAAGCAUGAGGUCGGGUGUUCAAUCCACCCAGAAGGCA